rfam:Homo sapiens chromosome X, GRCh38 reference primary assembly.
GCUGGGCAUGGUGGUGCACGCCUGUAAUCCCAGCUACUAAGGAGGCUGAGGCAGGAGAAUUGCUUGAACCCGGGAGGCCGAGGUUGCAGUGAGCUGAGGUUGUGCCACAGCACUCCAGCCUGGGCAACAGAGCGAGACUCUGUCUCAA